UAAGCAUUCACCUGCAGGAGAGCACUGACCUCACACGCCCUUCAUGCGCUCCAGAUGUCUCCCCCGCUUCCUAUCUCGGCGAAACGCCAGGUCGGUUUGCUCAGAGCGACAUGAUUGACUUAAUAGAAGUCAUCUACUCUGGCCCUCCCAUUUGACUCCUUGUGUCAAUAUUGAAUGAGAGGAAAGUGCCGUGUGACAGGUGUCCAGGACAGAGUUCCGCGCGCUGAAGAGAGAGCACAUCAAUGCAUUUACCCGCGUGCUCACUAAAAACACCGACACUGGUUAAAAAGCUAAAGGUCUCAGGUCUGUGUGCAUUAGCAGUUCUAUUAUAAUGCCACUGAUGAGCCAAAUUACACGGAAAGAAGACAAGUCAUCAUCAUAAACCCAGUGAAUGGAUGGAUGUGUUGUGUGUUUUCUGUACUUGUCUCACGUUGAGCCACACGCACAAUACCUGCAGAUGAAAAGGUUUUGUUCGUUCGGCUCGCGUUACGCAGAUGCAGACACGCGUCAGUAAAACACCAGAGCAGUGGGACACAUCGCCUGACAUUUCACUGCUGUCACACUCUUCACCGAAGCUAAACCAUUUUAAGUAGCCUAAUAAAAGGCGAACAAUGCACUGAACUAGCCUAUAACGAAUGCAUGCUUAUGAAAUAUGUAAACAUCGGCAACAAUGUCUUUUCAUUUUAUUUAUUCAUUUGGCAUGUUGUUGUUGUUGUUUUUUAGCAGGACCACCUGUAAUACUAUAAGGUCAACAGUUUUUAGAAUUAAACCUUCAUGUGUGUAUAUAG